rnacentral:lncRNA from 1 species
CUCGUGUUCGCGUCGUCGCCCUUUCUCCUCUCUCCUCUCUCCUCUCCUCCCCCGUCUCCGCCGCUCGCGAUCCCCACCGCCGCCGGCGACGCGCGCGUGGCGGUCGCCGGGGGUUGUGUCCGCGCCGCCCCGACGAGCCGGCUCGUCGACGGAGACGGUUCGGCUGUUCCUCCGUACUCGUCGCCCGCCACCUCAUCCCGCGGCGCCGUCUCCCUCGAUCCCCUCGCCAAAGCGCGCAAGGAAGGAAGGCUCUCCCCCGCCACCGACGCCGUCCGUCCAGAUCUAAGGUUUUGACACAAUGGGGUUAUUCAAGGGCAGCUUCACAUUCAUGGUGGGAAUGGGAUGUGGUGUCUAUGUAGCUCAGAACUACAAUGUUCCAAACAUCAAGAAGCUUUUCAACACAUAUGUUUUCAUGGCAAAGCACAUCGAGGAAACGUAUCGGAAGCCAAAGAAAGAUGAUGACUGAUGAUUUCCACAGAUUUUCAUUUUGGUGCCCCUGGAAAUCAACGUGUAACUAACAUGAUACAGAAAUAUGAUGUUCAUGAAUGGGGAAGUCGGUAAAGUCGGUUCUGAUCGUCGGCAAUUGAACUAUGGUGGCUUAAAUGCUUUACCGGUGAACCACUGUUUACUACUUUACUAUACUGCUUUUAGGGGGGUUGUUAGAGAGACAGAAGUUGCUGUCCAGAUGACAAUGACUCCCUUUUAUCUUUUGUUGGUGCUACGAAAAUGCACUUGACCUUUUUUUGGCUGUUGAAAUGUGUAGGACUGGAAAUCCACCACUAUUAUCAUGUCCAUCUGUAUAUGUCAUGCUUAGAUUUUC